AUGGAGAAGGCAGCCAGGGGAGGAUGCCUGAGGGUCCCUCAGUCUGGGUUCUUUCUGCUCUGGGGUGCUGCAGAAGCCCCCCCACUGGGGCUGAGGUUUGCCUGCACCCCGGGACAGCCAGCACCACCCGGCAGGAGCAGGACAACGCUCCCCAAUGCAGACGAGGAAGGCACGACCCUGACUGUGGGAAGCUGCUGGCAGCGAGUUCUGCCUGGAAAUCCUUUGGAUCUGGGUCUUGGGGAAAGGAGGGAAUUCCACCGUGCAUCGAAGGUGUUCGUGCCAGGAGACAGCAGGGGAGCAGCGCGCCCUGUGCCAGCCAGGAGAUGCUUCCCUGCUGGCUCUGCCCCCAUCAUCUGCUCUCCUGAGGCUGGAGCAGCGUGGGGACAGAGCCCUUGGUCCUCUGCCUGGGCCUGGUGCAGAGGAUGGAGAGGGAAGGUCUCACCCCCAGUAUGCUCCUUGCACACUUGAACAUCUUUUUAAUAUUUUCUCGGAGACUUCUCCCUGCGUGUUUCAUGCUCUGGCUCAGCAGUGUGGGUGCUCAGGGUGAAUACAGAGCAGUUUAGCACUCUGGAGUGACGCGAGACCUUUUCAGGGGAUGAUUCAGACUGGCCUAAUCAGAAUUACUACAGCUUUGAAAACCUUUGCAAAGAGAGGCUUAUUUAACCAGCCCGGGCCAGGAGUGGGAUGCUGUAGUCCCAGUAGGAUGCAGCAAUUGCAUCAGAGCCGUCAGAGGAGAGCCCCUGGGCUGAGCAGAUCCACGCUGUGCCCCCGGCCGGGCACCGAGCUCAGCCCCUGCCUGCUCCGUGCACAGGCAGCGGCGUUUCGGGAGGGAAAAUGAGUCAACGCCCUCCUGGUCCCCGCACACGAGGAAUAAACACACCUCUGCAGAAUCACAGCCCGUCCUCCCUGCUGAAGGUCAGCGUGGUUAUGAAUUCACCCCGUGCCUCAACACGUGGGGUGUUUUCUUUGUUUCUUUGAGCUCUGCUCCCCCAUGGCCAGUCCCUGCGGGCUGCAGUCGAGGUGCUCAUGGCCAGACCAGAGCUGUCUUGCAGUUGGGGCCCUCCAGCAUGGACUGUCUGAUGGCACAGGGAUGCCUUUGUGCUCCCCUAGCCACGACCACCCCCCGUGGCACUGGUGGUGCGAAGUGGGAAGCCUUUGGGACCGUCCCUCAUCCUCUCCUCNNNNNNNNNNUCCCUAGCCACAACCACCCUCUGUGGCACUGGUGCCUUUGGGACCGUCCCUCAUCCUCUCCUCCCUUAAGUGCUGCUUCACCCUGGAGCAGUUCUGGGGUGGCCACGCACGUGCCGAGGGGCAGCAGGGCUGUGCCUUGCCCAGCUGAGCCGCUUGGCUCCGUGUCCCCACCGAAUUCCCCUGGAAAUCCUCACCAGGCUGCCGCCUGCUGGGGCUGCACGCCCAGGAAGCCGCCAGAUGAACCAGAGGCACUCGGUUCCCUGAGCCUCUGCCGUCGGUCUGAGCCUUGGCACGGCCCCCCUGAGGCUGGUAAGGGAUGAGCUUGGUGCAGAAGCAGGCGUGCAGGAAGCAGCUCUCUUUGGCCCUAACGCCGGGGACAUGGGGACCUGCCAGCUUGGCCUGCUGCACGUGGCCAGAGCUGCUCAGCCAGGGGGUUCAGAAUAUUUUGGGGAGUGCACAGAGUCUCACACACAAAGCCAUCGUUUCAGGCUACAAACCCACCCUUAGAAAAUGAAUACAUUAAUUAAGAAGCAAAGGAAUAAAGCGGUGGCAGCCCCCUGUAGCUAGGAGAGACCCCUAGCCAGCAGCUCCUUGUCCCCAUGCACAGGGGACAGAAACCUUUCUCCUGCAGCCAGCCACACUGCACGGAGGCUGCAGAGAGCUCAGCACGUGGAGGCUGGGCAGUGGUGAGGGCAGGAGCUCCCCCAGCCUCCUGCGGCUCCCGAGCCAGCCCCGCAGCCCCUCGGAGAGGCCCCCCCACCAUUUUGCAGCCAACAGCUUUGGAGCCCCUGAAUGCUCCUCUACGGGACAGUGCACAGCCAGGAAAGCAUCCCCUGAAUCCCACUGAGCACCAGGGGCCCCGCAUCCCCUCCUGGGUGCACAGCUCACCAGGACCUCCCCCCAGCCAGCCCCAAAGCCACCCCCGGCGGGCAGGGGGCUGUUCACGUAGUCGGGCAGCACAGAGGGGCUCCAGCUGCAGAGGGGAAGCUGUUUCCAAGCUCCUUCGGUAGCAUCCUGUGGAGCAGGGCACCGGCAGCAGCACCAGCACCGGGGAAUUCCUGCCUCUGCAGCCCUGCCUGUGCCAAGGCGCACGCAGAUGCUCCUUCCCUGAUGGUUAUGUAGGUUAAUAGCAUGCAAUGCGAUUGCAAGGCACAGGCAACCGCAAAGCUAUGUCAAUAUUUAGCGUUUACACAUUUGGCUAAUUAGGGAGCAACCUGUGAUUGCCUCCGAAGGAGGCAGGGCUGCGUCGCCCAUCUCCCUCCCCCUCUCCGCGUGCUCCUGGUUGGGAUGGAGGAAACGUCGGCUCAUUAUUUCUGGAGUUCUCUGGCCACAAACAGUCCGUCCCGAAAUGCUGUGCCCAGGCGCUGGAUGUCAGAAAUCAUUAUCCUAAAUACAGCUCCAUGCAUGAUUCAUGAAGCUGGGCUUCACAUUAAUCAGGGAGAGAUGGGCGAAAGCGGAGCAGCGUCGCAGACCGCUGUGCACAGGCAGGCGAACGGGAAGAUGAGAUUUGGACCUCUGGGGCUAAAAUCAGAGGGAUGGUGCAAAUCAGAGAAACAGCCACGGUCCCAAAACAAUCAGAGCCCAUGUGAGUAGAGACCAAAUGCAGGCAAUGGGCCGAUGCCCAAGUACCUUUCUGCUUGAGGAGCUGCUGCGACUCGAUCACAUUAAUGAGCACAGGGCAGCCGGCACCGUGGCUCUGAGCAGCCUCGGAGAUGCUCGGCUGCUUUCCACAUUAGCCCUGGUCCGGGCAAUGCGCUGGGCCAGCAGUGGGACUCACACAAUGAUGUGAUGUUAUGAUGUGCAGAGCGUACUGCGAUGCUCUGCACAGUAUGACCACUAAAAAUAGAAAAAUGUGUGGGUUUUUUUUUCUGAAAUGUCACUGGGAGGUUCCAGGGCAAGCUGGGUUUCUGCACCGAUGCCACGCUGCGCCCCAGCAAUCAGGACCUUCUUGGGACACAAAUGCUCCUUCCAUUGCUCCAGGGCUUGGGAAACCAGGGAGAUGUGUCAUCUCUGUACCUGGAUCUGCCCCAAACACAAGCCCUGGGCCCCGACGGUCAAACAGCCAGUGUGGGUUGCCCUCGGUGUGCCAGUGUGGAUGGCGAGCUGCAGCAGGACGCUGUGCGCAUGUUGCAGGAGCAAGUGUCCACGCCAGGCUCAGCCCCUGAGCUCCAUCCCCACAUCCUGGGCUGUUCCUUUGCCACUUGUACAACCACUCCUGGUUACAAAUAAAUAAAUGAAUGAACCCACAAAAAUGCAGUGACAAGCAGCCAGGCCAGCCGUACAGAAGGGGGAAAUCCAUAGCUGGCAUUGUAAAACCUGGGCUCUGAAAUGAAAGCAGCGGUGACCCCUGUGUCGUGGAGGAAGCAGGCAGCACCACCAAGCCCUGCAGCCCUGCUGGGCUGGGACAGCUUGGGAGAGUGGGACCCCCAUGGGCAAGGCCCCAGGAGCCACCGCUCUGGGCUGGUGGAAGCCCUUGUGCCAUGGGAGCCCCCGUCACCAAGCCCAUCCCAUGGGAACCUCCCCAGG
rnacentral:lncRNA from 1 species